AUGGCCAAGAGUGUGGAUGAUGAUUUUUUAUUUCCAUCACCAGAAGUUUCGUCUCAAGAAUAUGCACCACAAGAAGAGCACCUUCGUGACAUGGAAGAUGAGGGUUUUCUUGAUGCGAGCAAAUUACACUACCAAAGAAGACAAGUUGUUGUGGGGUGCAUGGAAGAAAAUUGGUCCUGGUCCGGUUAUAGGGAGGAAGAACGACAAGGACAAGUUGAAGAAGGGAGGAGACAAUCACUUCAAGGAAUCAUUGGACAACAUCAUGGCAAUAAUGAAGGAGAUGGCCAGAAAAGGAAGAACUUGAAGGCCAAAGAAAUGGAGGAGAGAAGGGAGGUUGAGGAGAGGAGAACGCCGACCAAGAAGAGUAGGGCUGAGUUUGAGGAGAGGAAGGCGGCCUACGAUGAAAGAAUCAAGAGCUUGGAAGUGAGGAAAAGCUUAUGUUCAUGGGCCCAAGUGAUCUUGAUGAGAAGGGAAUACCAUACUUUGAACUUAUGCACAUUCAGGUGUUGGCCGAAAGGUCAAUGUGAGACUUCUUGGGAGGUUCGGAGGCAUGGGUGGCAUGAAAGGAUUCAUGGGUGGCAUGGGUGA
rnacentral:rRNA from 1 species